CAGCCAUUGCAGGAGAGGACUAAGACUGACAUUUCAAGGAUUAGCGUAAAAGAAUAGAAGGAAAGUGUGAAGAAUGAAAAUGCUGCCAAUAAAGAACAAAAAACAAAGGAAGUAAGGGAAUUCACACCAGAUCAGAGACCCA
rnacentral:lncRNA from 1 species